rnacentral:rRNA from 1 species
AAAUUGAAGAGUUUGAUCAUGGCUCAGAUUGAACGCUGGCGGCAGGCCUAACACAUGCAAGUCGAACGGUAACAGGAAGCAGCUUGCUGCUUUGCUGACGAGUGGCGGACGGGUGAGUAAUGUCUGGGAAACUGCCUGAUGGAGGGGGAUAACUACUGGAAACGGUGGCUAAUACCGCAUAACGUCGCAAGACCAAAGAGGGGGACCUUCGGGCCUCUUGCCAUCAGAUGUGCCCAGAUGGGAUUAGCUKGUUGGUGAGGUAACGGCUCACCAAGGCGACGAUCCCUAGCUGGUCUGAGAGGAUGACCAGCCACACUGGAACUGAGACACGGUCCAGACUCCUACGGGAGGCAGCAGUGGGGAAUAUUGCACAAUGGGCGCAAGCCUGAUGCAGCCAUGCCGCGUGUAUGAAGAAGGCCUUCGGGUUGUAAAGUACUUUCAGCGGGGAGGAAGGUGUUGUGGUUAAUAACCGCAGCAAUUGACGUUACCCGCAGAAGAAGCACCGGCUAACUCCGUGCCAGCAGCCGCGGUAAUACGGAGGGUGCAAGCGUUAAUCGGAAUUACUGGGCGUAAAGCGCACGCAGGCGGUCUGUCAAGUCGGAUGUGAAAUCCCCGGGCUCAACCUGGGAACUGCAUUCGAAACUGGCAGGCUUGAGUCUUGUAGAGGGGGGUAGAAUUCCAGGUGUAGCGGUGAAAUGCGUAGAGA